GACGAACGCUGGCGGCGUGCUUAACACAUGCAAGUCGAACGGAAAGGCCCUGCUUUUGUGGGGUGCUCGAGUGGCGAACGGGUGAGUAACACGUGAGUAACCUGCCCUUGACUUUGGGAUAACUUCAGGAAACUGGGGAUGAUACCGGAUAGGAGCUCCUGCUGCAUGGUGGGGGUUGGAAAGUUUCGGCGGUUGGGGAUGGACUCGCGGCUUAUCAGCUUGUUGGUGGGGUAGUGGCUUACCAAGGCUUUGACGGGUAGCCGGCCUGAGAGGGUGACCGGCCACAUUGGGACUGAGAUACGGCCCAGACUCCUACGGGAGGCAGCAGUGGGGAAUAUUGCACAAUGGGCGGAAGCCUGAUGCAGCAACGCCGCGUGCGGGAUGACGGCCUUCGGGUUGUAAACCGCUUUCGCCUGUGACGAAGCGUGAGUGACGGUAAUGGGUAAAGAAGCACCGGCUAACUACGUG
rnacentral:rRNA from 1 species